ACGAGUUAGGGUCCUCUGGGCCCGACCUCCCAACCCUUUGUUUACUGAACCUUUUGUUGCUUCGGCGGGCCCGUCGUCUCGCGACGACCGCCGGAGGACCGCCGCGAGGCGUCCUCUGGCCCGCGCCCGCCGGUGGCCAACACACAAAUUCUUCUGUAUGAAUCGUGUCUACUCUAAGUCUUGAUUAUCAAUCAAAAAUA
rnacentral:misc_RNA from 1 species